UACCCUGUAGAACCGAAUUUGUGUU
rnacentral:ncRNA from 4 species